rnacentral:misc_RNA from 1 species
GCAAACUUGGUCAUUUAGAGGAAGUAAAAGUCGUAACAAGGUUUCCGUAGGUGAACCUGCGGAAGGAUCAUUAUUGAAUAUGCUUGAUAGGUUGUCGCUGGCUCCUUGGGGCAUGUGCACGCCUGUCUUGACUCUAUUCAUCCACCUGUGCACUUCUUGUAGUCUUUUGUUGGGGGGGCUAAGUAAAUGGGUCAUCAGUCGAGAGACUGGAUUUGAGGCUUGCCAGUGCCAAAGUGGGUGCAGGCUCUCCUCUAUUGUGCCACAAAAGGCCUCUUCCAUCACAAGAGACUAUGUUCUUUUAUCACAAACCAUGUAGUAUGUUGUCAGAAUGCAUUCAAUUGGGCCUGUGUGCCUAUAGAAUCUUAUACAACUUUCAGCAACGGAUCUCUUGGCUCUCGCAUCGAUGAAGAACGCAGC